AAAUGGCAUUGUAUCAUCUGAAUCAUUUUGAAAAAUCCUAACCAAAUAACCCCCAAGCCAUUCCUAUAACUUCUAUGUCAAUGGGCACAUGAAUGGACUGCCACAUGUGUGGAUUUCAUGACAUUGGCUGGGUCUAGGUACGAUGAAGGACAGGCCUGAAAAGGAAUGGUGGUGGUGGGAGGGGCUACAAGGAUGUGUGUUAAGGGCUCUGUGUAAGGAAAGAAGAACUUCAGGAAUGCUAUGCUGGGGUUCAGAACAGGUAAAGCAAGUCCUGAUUUGUUUUUUGUCUCCUUCCUACCUAAGGCAUACUUCAGAAUUCUGAGACCCAGGGCUGGACACAAACAAACAAAAAACAUGAAGAAUAAAUUUAGCUGUGGACAGAGCUCAGAGGGAGUGCACAAGGUCCUGGGUCUGAGUCUCAGUACCCAUGAUGAGACCCUGCUAGGACAAAGCCAGCUCUGCCCCCAGGCGUCAGAACAGCUCUCCAGUUACCAUGGGGCACAAGCUUGCUGAUGGCAAAGCAGAUGCAUUUUCAUGAGACACCAGGCUCUGUUUCUACUGUAAUAAAGAUGACUCCACGUCACAAGGACCAAAUAGCAUGUUACAAAAUACACUCAAACGGUUUGCAACUGAUCUUCUCACAGGAAACAUUUCAACCAUGGAAACUAUCUCACUGCCUCAUUUCAAUAAAGGAUCCAAAAUAUCUAGGCCAACAAAGCAAGCUGAUUUUGCUUUUCUUUGUAAGCAGUGCUUAUUUUUAACUGCUUCAGGAGAUGCCAAAGUGGGGAGACAAAUGAGAAAGAAGAGAGGCCCAGAUAAAGCAGUCUCCUAGAUGUCAUGUGGCUUUUUCUCCUCUGAAAGGUUUACGCUGUAGUUGCCUUUUAAUUACUCUAGCAAGUGUAUACUGAGACCACCUGAAGUGCUUUCUGUAAGGCAAAGUCCUGUCAAAUGUUAUAGUUCAAUCUAUUCCAUUACCUUUUAAUGCAUCUAUUUUGUUAAAUACUAUUAUAACUAAGAGGUGACUUUUACCAAGGGUCCCUGCCAUCCAACUUAGGGGCUAGGAAUUAUUUUAUAAUAAACACUAUAGUACACUUUUUGACCUUGGGAGUAAAGAUUUAUAUCUUAGAUGGAAAAAAGUUUUUAGAUCAAUUUAUGAUAAUUUAGGUAAUGUUGACAGAAACCAGGUGACAAAAAACUGCCCCCAAAAAGCAGGUGUGUGUUGGAUCAACUCCCUCGCCAUGCCUUUCCAAAUACAUUUCCAGCCAUUUACUUCAGCUUAUCUGCUUCAGAAACAGCACACAGAGGCACGGCAUCCUGAUGCUGGGCUGUAAGCAGCAGAGGGUUUUCCCUCGGGCCUGGCUGCACUGGUGAGAUGGUUUUGCUUUCCACCUGUCAUGUCUGUGUGAUGGCUGGCUCAGCAUCAGGACCUGCAUGGCCUGUGGUGUUUUGUUUUCAGUGAUAAGCCCUUCCAAAUCCUUCCCUCCCCAAACACUGAGCUGACCCUAACUCCAUUAGUCUUAUUGGCAAAUAACCAAUAUGAUUUAGGGAGACUGUGAAAGCUUUCCUAUCUUGCAAUUUUCAUAUGCUUGGUUUUGAGAGCUGCUAUCAAAAUGACUAUGUACAGAGGAAAAAAACAAGAAUUAUGGAUAUAUAUUAAAUAUUUUAUAAGUUAUACAAUAAAUAACACU
rnacentral:lncRNA from 1 species